rnacentral:tRNA from 1 species
GCCGCCUUAGCUCAGUUGGAAGAGCAUUAGACUGAAGUUCCAAAGGUCCUGCGUUUGAUCUGCAGAGAUGGCA